UUCACAAUUCCAUCAAGGGAAUGAUCACCGAUUCAUCGUUCACCUCUUUUAGAUCUUUCCUCUGCAAAUAUCUGAAACAGGAAUACCACUAAUCCGUGAAGUUUAUAAUUAACGUGAUGUGAGCAAAGUGGUUUAGCAGCGAAUGCUGUGCGAUUGCAUCCGAUGUACGGGUAGUAACCGGAGGUCUUCAGCAACGCAGGCUCAAACAGAGAGAAUAUCGGAUUUUCCUCUGGAGAUAUUCGAGAUGCUUCUUUGACUCGGAAAUAUGACCUGGCAGAUGCUUAUGACCCACACCUUGGCACAGAUGCCAGAAAUAACAUGAGCCAUAAGAUCCAGUCUCAAACCCAGAAAAAACCUCACAAAAGGUGCAGGCAUCCUAAUCUCUACUGGGCCAUUGGAAACCACCCUCCAGUGGGUGGAGGCAAGUUUCUCGGUCUCCUGGUGAAGAUUUAGAGAGGCAGCGUUUUUAAUAUUUUUUUUUUCCCCAUCUGGGGAAAGAAAAUGUAUUACAUUGGACCCUGUUUUCGCUCUCCCACAAGCUGGGCCUCAGAGAAAACUGGCCUGGGGAUUAAUGUGGUUAUCUGUCCUCACAGGGGUGGCAGUGACUAAGUGUUCAUUUGAGAGUCGUGGCUAACCCCCCCCAUCUCUUACUCCCUCAGCCUUCAGGGUCCGCUUCACUUUCGGAGGGUUCUAGAACACAGCCCUUCCUCCUGGAAUUCCUCUUCGCAUUUGGGAGUAGUCUUAGUUCCUGUUUCUGUGAGCAAAUCCAAAUUAAUUCAUCAAGCUGCCUUGUCUGCUCCUCCUUGAAUGUUGAAAAUAUAUCAUAGAGCCUACCAAAGUGACUCCAGUAAGAUCACCACCAACU